ACCUACGGGAGGCAGCAGUGGGGGAUAUUGGACAAUGGGGGGAACCCUGAUCCAGCGACGCCGCGUGAGUGAAGAAGUAUCUCGGUAUGUAAAGCUCUAUCAGCAGGGAAGAAAGAAAUGACGGUACCUGAGUAAGAAGCCCCGGCUAACUACGUGCCAGCAGCCGCGGUAAUACGUAGGGGGCAAGCGUUAUCCGGAUUUACUGGGUGUAAAGGGAGCGUAGACGGAGAAGCAAGUCUGAAGUGAAAGCCCGUGGCUUAACCACGGGACUGCUUUGGAAACUGUUUGACUAGAGUGCUGGAGAG
rnacentral:rRNA from 1 species